AUAAAAUCAAAGCCGCGGGUAAAGUCUGCAGGUAGGGCCCACUCUAUUUAUCAUCAACCUAACGGAAACAACCGUAUCAACCAAACCUGAAACCUCAACUAAGCAAACCCAAAAACACCUUUCUUCUCUUCCCUAACGAUUAACAAUGAAAACCAUAUUAUCCCUCCAAUUCCUAUCUCUGAAUUAACAAAAAAAAACUGAAAAAGUUUUAAAAUUUAGAGAGUGAAUUUUUUUUUUGGCGAGCAAUGGCGGCGGCGGCGAUAUUGAACGGGGAGAGAGUGGUGGUGGUUCUGUUCAUCGGUCUCGUUCUCUUCUCUCUCCCUCUCUCUCUCCUCCUUCACGGCGUCGCUCUCUCUCUCCUCGCCCUCUCCGCCCUCUUCAUCGAGAUCCGCGCCGAGGAUGAUGCCUCCUCUUCCUCUUCCCUUUCUCUCUUCAAAACCAGGCCUGGUGCUUCAUCUGGAAUAUUUCUUGGGGCAGUAACACUUCCUGUGGUUAUGCUUUCAAAGUUGAUACAGCUUUCGCGAGCAUUGUCGUUGCGUCAAGUUCCACUUGAAGAGCUUGAAUAUCUGACAAUGCAAUACUGGGCCACAUCUGCCAGCAGCUUGAGUGUACUUGUGUUCCUCUGCAUGGUUAUAUGGCGUUCACCUGACCAUGCACGCCCGCCUUAUUCGCGUAGUGUUAUGGAUGCAAAGUUGAGUUUAAGUGGAACUGUCUUAUUUGCAGUGGUGUGCUGCGUGUCUAUUGCUGCAACAUCCCAUACUGGCUUUCACGCAGUAUUGAAGUUAUUGUGGGUGCUUUUGCAUGGAUUGGCAGCGGUGAAAUUAAUUCAGCAUGUUCUUAGUACUUUUCCCUCUUGUGCUUCUAUUGGGGAAGCACUUUUGGUGACUGCAGGCAUUGUUCUUUAUUUUGGUGACAUGUUGGCAUGUACGAUUGCAAAGGUUACGGGAUACUUGAUUUCAUUGGAGUUGGUUUCUGUACAGUAUGGAGUCAAGAGAAGUGAAAUAGGCAUAAUUAUUCAGGGGGUGCUACUAGGCCUUCUUCUUUUUCCAAUGGUCUUUAAAUUUGUUCUUCGAAUAUGGGAAUGCUCUUCAAGUAGUGCUAACUCUGAAUCAAGAACAUACGAGAUAGGGAAAUCUCUUAUAUUCUUUGCAUCCCUUGGAUUUAUCUUGAUUGUGAUAAUCCCAUCAUGGAUGCAGUUUGCUCAGGAUUUUAGCGUGCAUCCAUUUUUAUGGGUAAUCUCGUUUGUUUUUUCGGAGCCACUGAAAAGACUAUCUUUAUGUAUGUACUGGGUGUGUGUGAUAUAUGUGUCCGUUUUGCGGUUCUACAACAUUUCGAAGAAUAGUAAGAUUGAAAGGAUUCUUCUCCGAAAAUACUACCAUCUGAUGGCUGUUUCAAUGUUUCUGCCUGCUCUUAUCUUCCAGCCAAAGUUUCUUGAUCUAGCAUUUGGUGCAGCUCUGGCAGUUUUCUUGGUGAUAGAAAUUAUUCGAGUGUGGAGAAUUUGGCCUUUGGGACAACUUGUACAUCAAUUUAUGAAUGCUUUCACAGACCAUCGUGAUUCUGAUCUUCUUAUUGUAAGCCAUUUCUCUCUCUUAUUGGGUUGCGCACUUCCAAUUUGGAUGUCUUAUGGAUUCAAUGAUCGACCACUUGCCCCUUUUGCCGGAAUUUUGAGUCUUGGAAUUGGAGAUACAAUGGCGUCAAUGGUUGGCCACAAGUAUGGUGUCCUCAGGUGGAGUAAAACUGGCAAGAAAACUAUUGAAGGGACUGCAGCUGGUAUAACGUCUAUGCUGGCUGCUUGCUCAAUUCUGCUUCCACUUCUAGCAUCUACUGGAUAUAUUUUUACCCAGAUGAAGCUAACAUAGUUGGAGGUGGAAACUCAGUGACAUCGAAGGUUGAAAUUAAGAGUUGAACUAAUGGUUUUUUGUUGUUGUUGGCAUAUAUUGAAGUUGGAGGUGAAAGUCUGGUGACUUUAUGGUUUGAAAUCUUGAGUUGAAGUGUUAAACUCAUAAUUUUAUUUUGCUGACAGCACAAUGAGCUUUUAACUCAGCAUCAGAGGGAUUAAGCUAGCACCUCAGCUUAAAAUCGUGAUCUUAAAUCAUGAUUAACAUGAAAUCAAAGACUGAAGUAUAAAUAUGACUUCAGGAGAUAACGACGGAGUGGAGUGCAGAAAAAGUUGGACAGACAAGAGCGCCAUCAUCCGAGACUGAAAAUGAAAUUUCUUCUUGGUAUGCAAACAAAUCAUAUAAUUGCAGAUAAAGUGAUCUAAAGUACUACAAAUAACUAAACAUAUUAUGACCAUUUCACUAUGUUCUAAACUUGCACAAAAAGUGUUUAUAUCCUACGUGAACAUGUAUGGUAUAAAUGAAUUCAUAUGAUUGCAUGUGUAACCAAAAGAGAGGGGAAGUAUUG